UACGUAGGGGGCAAGCGUUGUCCGGAAUCAUUGGGCGUAAAGCGCGUGUAGGCGGCUUGGUAAGUCCGCUCUGAAAGCCCCGGGGCUCAACCCCGGGAGGCGGGUGGAUACUGUCAAGCUCGAGUCCGGUAAGAGGCGAGUGGGAAUUCCUGGUGUAGCGGUGAAAUGCGCAGGAUAUCAGGAGGAACACCGGUGGCGAAAGGCGG
rnacentral:rRNA from 1 species